AGGUCUUAUAGUUAAAUUGUAUAUAAUAUAAAAUUGCAAAUUUUAAGAUGAGAAAAAUUCUAAGGCUU
rnacentral:tRNA from 1 species